rnacentral:tRNA from 1 species
GCCGAGGUAGCUCAGCUGGUAGAGCGCUUCCCUGAAAAGGAAGAGGUCCCCAGUUCAAGUCUGGGCCUCGGCA